AUGAACGCUAGCGGCAGGCUUAACACAUGCAAGUCGAGGGGCAACACGGGUAGCAAUACCUGGUGGCGACCGGCGCAGGGGUGCGUAACGCGUGAGCAACAUGCCCUAUACAGGGGGAUAAUCCAGGGAAACUUGGUCUAAUAUCCCAUAGUAUUUAGAGGUGGCAUCACCACUAAAUUAAAGCUUCGGUGGUAUAGGAUUGGCUCGCGUGACAUUAGCUGGAUGGUGGGGUAACGGCUCACCAUGGCGAUGAUGUCUAGGGGUUCUGAGAGGAAGACCCCCCACACUGGGACUGAGACACGGCCCAGACUCCUACGGGAGGCAGCAGUGAGGAAUAUUGGACAAUGGAUGGAAAUCUGAUCCAGCCAUGCCGCGUGCAGGAAGACGGCCCUAUGGGUUGUAAACUGCUUUUAUAUGGGAGCAAUAAGGUUUACGCGUAGACCGAUGAGAGUACCAUAUGAAUAAGCAUCGGCUAACUCCGUG
rnacentral:rRNA from 1 species